UACGUAGGGUGCGAGCGUUAAUCGGAAUUACUGGGCGUAAAGCGUGCGCAGGCGGUUCGCUAAGACCGAUGUGAAAUCCCCGGGCUUAACCUGGGAACUGCAUUGGUGACUGGCGGGCUAGAGUGUGGCAGAGGGGGGUAGAAUUCCACGUGUAGCAGUGAAAUGCGUAGAGAUGUGGAGGAAUACCGAUGGCGAAGGCAGCCCCCUGGGCUAACACUGACGCUCAUGCACGAAAGCGUGGGGAGCAAACAGG
rnacentral:rRNA from 1 species